rnacentral:miRNA from 1 species
AAUAAGGCAACACGCAAAGGA